ACCACAGAAGGUAAUAGUCCUGUAUGUUAAACGAGAAGACUUUAGAUAUGAUCCAGAGUACCACGGGACACGUGAAACCCUGUGGGAAGCAGGAGGGACCACCCUCCAAGGCUAAAUACUACCUAGUGACCGAUAGCGUAUAGUACCGGGAGGGAAAGGUGAAAAGAACCCCGGGAGGGGAGUGAAAUAGAACCUGAAACCCUGCACUUACAAGCUGUGGAAGCACAUUUCUUGUGUGACCGCGUACUUUUUGUAGAACGGGCCAACGAGUUACGUUAAGUAGCAAGGUUAAGCACUUAAGGUGCGGAGCCGUAGCGAAAGCGAGUUUUAAC
rnacentral:rRNA from 1 species